UACGGGGGGGGUCAAGCGUUGUUCGGAAUUACUGGGCGUAAAGGGCUCGUAGGCGGCCAACUAAGUCGGAUGUGAAAUCCCCAGGCUUAACCUGGGAACUGCAUCCGAUACUGGAUGGCUUGAAUUCGGGAGAGGGAUGCAGAAUUCCAGGUGUAGCGGUGAAAUGCGUAGAUAUCUGGAGGAAUACCGGUGGCGAAGGCGGCAUCCUGGACCGAGAUUGACGCUGAUGAGCGAAAGCUAGGGGAGCAAACGGG
rnacentral:rRNA from 1 species